rnacentral:rRNA from 1 species
UAAAAUUAAGAAGGGGUCCAGCCUGCCCAGGUGACAAAUGUUCAACGGCCGCGGUAUCCUAACCGUGCGAAGGUAGCGUAAUCACUUGUUCUUUAAAUGAGGACUAGUAUGAAUGGCACCACGAGGGUUGCACUGUCUCCUUUCCCUAAUCAAUGAAACUAAUCUCCCCGUGAAGAAGCGGGGGUACUAAUAUAAGACGAGAAGACCCUAUGGAGCUUUAAAUUUCUCUUCAAACGCCAGACACAAACAUCUGACACUUUACAUUAACCCGACGCCUUGAAGAUGAAUUUUAGGUUGGGGUGACCAUGGAGAACAAAAUAACCUCCACGCUGAAAAGGCCUCCAAGCCUUGAGCCGAGGGCUACAACCCAACGCACUAAAAAAUUAACACCCAUUGACCCAAUAUUUUUGAUCAACGAACCAAGUUACCCUAGGGAUAACAGCGCAAUCUACUUCAAGAGUCCCUAUCGACAAGUGGGUUUACGACCUCGAUGUUGGAUCAGGGUAUCCCAGUGGUGCAGCCGCUACUAAAGGUUCGUUUGUUCAACGAUUAAAACCCUACGUGAUCUGAGUUCAGACCGGA